rnacentral:rRNA from 1 species
UAGUCCACGCCGUAAACGAUGAUCACUCGUUGUUGGCAAUACACAGUCAGCGACUGAGCGAAAGCAUUAAGUGAUCCACCUGGGGAGUACGACCGCAAGGUUGAAACUCAAAGGAAUUGACGGGGGCCCGCACAAGCGGAGGAACAUGUGGUUUAAUUCGAUGAUACGCGAGGAACCUUACCUGGGCUUAAAUGUAGAACGACGGAUCGGGAAACUGAUCUUUCUUCGGACGGUCUGCAAGGUGCUGCGUGGCUGUCGUCAGCUCGUGCCGUGAGGUGUCGGGUUAAGUCCCAUAACGAGCGCAACCCUCAUCAUUAGUUGCCAGCGGGUAGUGCCGGGGACUCUAAUGAAACUGCCGGUGUAAACCGAGAGGAAGGUGGGGAUGACGUCAAGUCAGCACGGCCCUUAUGUCCAGGGCUACACACGUGUUACAAUGGUUGGUACAGAGGGCAGCUACCUGGUGACAGGAUGCAAAUCUCGAAACCAAUCUCAGUUCGGAUCGAAGU